GUCGCUCCUACCGAUGGGGUGAUCCGGUGAAUGAUUCGGACUCUGAUAUUGCUAGCUACUAGCCUUGUCGGAGGAAGUUUUGUGAACCUUAUCACUUGGAGGAAGGAGAAGUCG
rnacentral:rRNA from 1 species